CAGAGAUGCAGAGGGACGGCCCAGUGGACAGCCCUGGUAGUGCCUCCAUUCGUACCACAGAGAGAGCCGCAGACUGGUGCCUGGACACUCGUGCAGAUUAAGGUCUAGGGUCUGGAGCUGGGCAGCAGGGUUUGCAGUGGUCAGUGCAGGUGGAAGAAAAGGAGGUGGGGACUUUGGAGUGAUCAAGACGGCUGUUAGGACACUGGAUGAUGUCAACCGAGGCUGCAGAGAUCACUGGGUGCUGGGGGUCAGUGCACCCUGAAUCUCUGUCACCAACUUGUUCUGUCCCUCUGAAGAGGAAGAAGUGAUAUCGUGCCUGGUCAGGCCCGUGUGUUCUGUCACAUGACCCUGCUCGUGGCAAAGCACAUGACUGUCGAUGCCAGUAUUUCAAUGUGAAGCAACAGGGUUUUCCUGGAGCGAAGGCAGGUGCCUCUUUAUCCACUGAGAGCCCAGGAGGAGGCAGG